CAUUAAUUUAGCGAGUGUCGGUAACGAAAAUUUCGGGUGGUAGUUCGCCAGGCUGAUAAAAUCAGGACAUUUUGUAGUGUCUCAAAAUGUCGUUGAAAAA